GCCUGGCUAGCUCAGUCAGUAGAGUGCGAGACUCUUAAUCUCAGGGUCGUGGGUUCAAACCCCACGUUGGGGG
rnacentral:tRNA from 1 species